UGUGUGUUAGUGGAAGCGUCUGGAAAGGCGCGCGAUACAGGGUGACAGCCCCGUACACAAAAAUGCACAUAUUGUGAGCUCGAUGAGUAGGGCGGGACACGUGGUAUCCUGUCUGAAUAUGGGGGGACCAUCCUCCAAGGCUAAAUACUCCUGACUGACCGAUAGUGAACCAGUACCGUGAGGGAAAGGCGAAAAGAACCCCGGCGAGGGGAGUGAAAAAGAACCUGAAACCGUGUACGUACAAGCAGUGGGAGCACGCUUAGGCGUGUGACUGCGUACCUUUUGUAUAAUGGGUCAGCGACUUAUAUUCUGUAGCAAGGUUAACCGAAUAGGGGAGCCGAAGGGAAACCGAGUCUUAACUGGGCGUUAAGUUGCAGGGUAUAGACCCGAAACCCGGUGAUCUAGCCAUGGGCAGGUUGAAGGUUGGGUAACACUAACUGGAGGACCGAACCGACUAAUGUUGAAAAAUUAGCGGAUGACUUGUGGCUGGGGGUGAAAGGCCAAUCAAACCGGGAGAUAGCUGGUUCUCCCCGAAAGCUAUUUAGGUAGCGCCUCGUGAAUUCAUCUCCGGGGGUAGAGCACUGUUUCGGCAAGGGGGUCAUCCCGACUUACCAACCCGAUGCAAACUGCGAAUACCGGAGAAUGUUAUCACGGGAGACACACGGCGGGUGCUAACGUCCGUCGUGAAGAGGGAAACAACCCAGACCGCCAGCUAAGGUCCCAAAGUCAUGGUUAAGUGGGAAACGAUGUGGGAAGGCCCAGACAGCCAGGAUGUUGGCUUAGAAGCAGCCAUCAUUUAAAGAAAGCGUAAUAGCUCACUGGUCGAGUCGGCCUGCGCGGAAGAUGUAACGGGGCUAAACCAUGCACCGAAGCUGCGGCAGCGACGCUGAUGCGUUGUUGGGUA
rnacentral:rRNA from 1 species